GCCAUCCUAAUCCACUCACAGACAAGUGGUCUCCAUACUGGACUAUUUAAAAGAGAGAACCGUUCCUUGACCUCAGACACAGAGUUGCAUUCAGAACGUGAACGAAGAAGGAAGACUCAUUUCGACAAGAUGAAGACCUUCUGUCUGCUGCUGGUCCUGUGCCUGAUGCUCUCCCUUGUCGCGAAGGGCGCUGAUGGUGUCUCGGACUUCGACCCGGCUGACGAUGAAAAAGAGGAAAAACGGGAAAAACGUAGAAUGACUGCCAGCUGGGCUGCUCAUGGAAUCGGACAUCUGGUAUACAAUAGAAGACGAAAAGGUUAAAUGGCAACUCAUACAAAUCAAGACACUGUCAACAAUUAGACGAGCACGGAUGUGAUGUCAGCUGCCUCUCGGCGGGUCUUGGACAAGAAUCUGUCACGUGAUUCACGCUGUCAGUCUAUUCUCGUCGUCUUCAGAAUCCCUCAGUGUUGACAAUGUUUUUAUUCCAACUGUUUCCCGUCUGCGGAAUACGUUUUUUUUUAAUAUUUGAAAAUAAAUUCUGCACUCUAA